UAAACUGGGAUUAGAUACCCCACUAUGCUUAGCCCUAAACAUCGAUUAUUUACUACACCCUAAAUCCGCCCGGGAAUUACGAGCAUAAGUUUAAAACCCAAAGGACUUGGCGGUGCUUAACAUCCACCUAGAGGAGCCUGUUCUAGAACCGAUAACCCCCGUUCAACCUCACCCUCCCUUGCUUUUCCCGCCUAUAUACCACCGUCGUCAGCUUACCCUGUGAAGGUUUUAUAGUAAGCAAAGUUGGCACAGCCUAAAACGUCAGGUCGAGGUGUAGUGCAUGAGAGGGGAAGAAAUGGGCUACAUUCGCUACUAAUAGCGAAUUACGAAUGUUGCAUUGAAACAUGCAGCUGAAGGAGGAUUUAGCAGUAAGCAGAAAGCAGAGCGUCCC
rnacentral:rRNA from 1 species